GAUGAACGCUGGCGGCGUGCCUAAUACAUGCAAGUCGAGCGAACGGACGAGAAGCUUGCUUCUCUGAUGUUAGCGGCGGACGGGUGAGUAACACGUGGAUAACCUACCUAUAAGACUGGGAUAACUUAGGGAAACCGGAGCUAAUACCGGAUGAUAUUUUGAACCGCAUGGUUCAAAAGUGAAAGACGGUCUUGCCGUCACUUAUAGAUGGAUCCGCGCUGCAUUAGCUAGUUGGUAAGGUAACGGCUUACCAAGGCAACGAUGCAUAGCCGACCUGAGAGGGUGAUCGGCCACACUGGAACUGAGACACGGGCCAGACUCCUACGGGAGGCAGCAGUAGGGAAUCUUCCGCAAUGGGCGAAAGCCUGACGGAGCAACGCCGCGUGAGUGAUGAAGGUCUUCGGAUCGUAAAACUCUGUUAUUAGGGAAGAACAUAUGUGUAAGUAACUGUGCACAUCUUGACGGUACCUAAUCAGAAAGCCACGGCUAACUACGUG
rnacentral:rRNA from 1 species